rnacentral:rRNA from 1 species
AUUGAACGCUGGCGGCAUGCUUUACACAUGCAAGUCGAACGGUAACAGGGAGCUUGCUCCGCUGACGAGUGGCGAACGGGUGAGUAAUAUAUCGGAACGUGCCCAAGAGUGGGGGAUAACGUAGCGAAAGUUACGCUAAUACCGCAUACGAUCCAAGGAUGAAAGCAGGGGACCUUCGGGCCUUGUGCUCCUGGAGCGGCCGAUAUCUGAUUAGCUAGUUGGUGAGGUAAAGGCUCACCAAGGCGACGAUCAGUAGCUGGUCUGAGAGGACGACCAGCCACACUGGAACUGAGACACGGUCCAGACUCCUACGGGAGGCAGCAGUGGGGAAUUUUGGACAAUGGGGGCAACCCUGAUCCAGCAAUGCCGCGUGAGUGAAGAAGGCCUUCGGGUUGUAAAGCUCUUUUGUCAGGGAAGAAAAGGGUACGGCUAAUAUCCGUGCCUCAUGACGGUACCUGAAGAAUAAGCACCGGCUAACUACGUGCCAGCCGCCGCCGUAA